UGGUAUCAUAUGAGUAAUUAACCAACUAUCAAAGUGUAGCAGGAUCCCAUUUGGACACCGCGACGCACCAGAGCUGCUGUGAAGGGGCUGCGCAUUCUGUCUCUAGCUUUUCCUGUGGAGAGUUGCUGUGUGUUUGUGUGUGUGUGUGUGUACGUGAGUGUUUAAGAGAGAGCACUUUGACGGGGUGGGACUGCAAUUCUCCACCUCCCCCCUCGGCCGGGAGGGGGGCCCCAAAGGAAACACCAGUGCUUGGUGAGGCACAGCCUGCCUGACUGUCUACAGUCAACCCAAGCUCAGGAAGCAUCAGGAGGAAUUGCAAACCCUCUCCAGAGGUUUGCCUUCGCUCUCUCCCUCGAUCUUUGUCAUUUCUCUGACAGAACUCCUGCCGCCGUGUCGUAACCUUCUCCCAAAUGACAAACUCACCUCACUUUCCUUCAGAUGCGGUACUGACAGCUAUGCAGGAGAGGGUGUGGGGGACGGCGGUGGGAUUGAGAGCCAAAUAUCCCUUGAACUUUCUACGCCCGAAUUAUCACAGUGUGGGUGGUCGGACUCAGGGGAGAAUGCGAUUGCUUGUGUGAACAUAAAAGCCCACAAGAGAAAUAGUCUGAUCAGUAAGGCGAAACACUCAAUGGAGAAUGAUGAAAAUCUCAGGAGCGAUUCAUUUUCAUCUGAACUGAGCCACAUCUUCCAAACCGCAGAACCCUUCGGCCAUGUGAAGACUUUAGCCCAAGUUAGGAGCUCAAUUGAAUCCAGAUGUCGCUCCAGCAAUAGCCAUUACUUUCACCACUAAAUCAUUCAGUUCCUGGAGGAAUGAUAGUCAGGCAACUAAAAUGAAUCGCUUGCUCUUAUUGUUAAUCACCCUUUAAUUUUUUUUUUUUCUUUCUAUGUGAACUUUCACUUCUUCACAAGUUCUGGAAAAAAUGCACAAAAUGUUCAGUGGUUGUGAAAAUUGGUUGAUUUAGUUCUUUAGUUUCUGAGAUUAAAAUAAUGGUUGUCAAACAAAGCAAAAAAUUUAGUAGCUGCCAUUUCCUCCAAGAAAAACAAGUUUUAUGAAUUCUCUAUUUGUUGUUUAGUGUCUGGAACUCAUUGAGUUCGGUUACGUGUGUUUGCGUGCAUAAUUAGAAUUAGUCUUUCGUCUGAAACUGUGUUUAUCACGCACAUAUGAUCAUUCAUUCUUCAAAAGUGUUGUUUUGAUUGUCCAAAUAUCUUACGUCAAGGGCUAAAUGUUUAAAUCCUCAAAACAGCCUAAGGAAGACUGUAUGAGGAUUGUAAGAGAAGCAAUUUGCUAUGUGUUCAGCAGGAUCCAGCAGUGAAAAUGUUUAUUAUUGUUUUGUUGAUUGAUUCAUUCAUUGGUUUACACCCUAAUAUUCAAAAGUUCAUUCAUAUUGUUAUCCUUAUUAUUUUCUGUCUAAUUUAUUUAUGUAUUUAUUAACACUUGCUCUUAACAUCUGCAAGAUUCCCUUACUUAGUACAUAAGAAAUAAAAGGGUAAGAUUAAAGGGGCAUUUUUAUUCUUUACUACACUCAUAUAAACCAUUUUAUUGCUAUCUGAUUUGACUGUGUAAAACGAACCGGUCAAAACAGCAAGCCACAAGUUAUUUAUAUGCUUUCCUCUUUUGCUGAAUUGUUUGAUUCAAUCACCAAACCCCAGUUUCUAAGCUCUAUCACAGCUGGCUGGCUAACGUGAAUAAAUGUAUUUACACAGUUGUGGCAGGUUAUCUGAGCGUGUUCUCUGGGAUACAGACAUGAGUAACGGGCGCUGUUACGCUAUCAGACCUCUGUCGUUGACCUCUGGAUGGCCUUAACUGUUGGCCGCUGCUCCGUCUCUCACCGUGGCCAUUCCGACUGUUCAUCUACGUCGAUACGGACUUCACACUCCCUUAACGUGUAGAUCCAAAUCAGUCUACAUGCCUCUCUGCUGCAAUAUAGCAUUUGCUGUUUAUUUUGGCCCUCGCCCAACAGCCAGUUCAGUGAGGGCUGGACAAAGUCAGGCUAAAGGGAUCACGCAUAGCAGUAAUUCAUUCUCCAUAGCGAAUAACCCUUUUUCUGAAAGCUGUGGCGAUAAGUGACCAUAUACAAGACAUGCUGGACUGACAGGAGUCUGUUUGUAAAAUAAAUAAAGGUCGACGUCAGAGCUGUUGAAAUGUGCAGUUGCUUUUGCUGAUAAGUUAGUAUAUAGGCUAGAUGCUGGACGUGUGUCUGUGGUUGGUUAAUAAUGGGCAGAAAGGGAAAUUGGAUCAAGAGUGUGUGCGUCUGCCUGUCUGGAGUUGCUCGUCUGUAUUAGAUUUAUGUUAAAUUGUAACAAUAAGUCUCUUUCUUCAUUUCUGUCUGUGUGACGAAAAAGCAAAGCUUCUCUUCCUGUGUGUAUUGUUUAAUGGGGCACCGUCAUCAUCUCUUGCUAAGCAGGGCUUGACUGAGCAUGGGAACCUGUCACAUAAAAUGAGCUCUGGGAUUUCUUCACAGUGGGGUAGAGGUCGUAACAAGCUUUUUUUUUUCUUUUUUUCAAAUGACCCUAUACUGACUGGAAUACAUAAGUUUAACACCAUUGAAAACAGUUAGGAUAGUGAUUAUAUUGUAUUAAAUUAUGCCUGUAAUAUACAGAUAAAUAUCAAUUAAAAGUGCUUUUUAAUAAAAUCAACUCAUGCUUACUUCCUAAACUUUCCUGUGUUGAUAUGAUAUUAUGUUGCUUAGGAAUUUGGAUAUAUGAUGCAAAUGUAAAAAUAUUUUAGUGAACAAAUGAAGUGCGUAGUAACUGACUACAUUUAAUCUGGAUUACGUAAUCAGAUUCCACCUUGAUGUAAUAUAAUGUUUAAUGCACUUCAUGUCGUUAAUUACAACAAAUGUAAUAUAUUUUCUUACUCUUAC
ensembl:lncRNA